rnacentral:rRNA from 1 species
GGAGAGUGCAAGCGUUAAUCGGAAUUACUGGGCGUAAAGCACGCGUAGGCGGGAUAUUUAAGUCGGAUGUGAAAGCCCUGGGGCUCAACCUAGGAAUUGCAUUCGAUACUGAACAUCUAGAGUAUGGUAGAGGAAAGUGGAAUUCCCGGUGUAGCGGUGGAAUGCGUAGAUAUCGGGAGGAACACCAGUGGCGAAGGCGGCUUUCUGGACCAAUACUGACGCUGAGGCGUGAAAGCGUGGGGAGCAAACAGGAUUAGAUACCCUGGUAGUCCACGCCGUCAACGAUGAGAACUAGACGUUGGAGACCGAGAGUCUUUAGUGUCGAAGCUAACGCGUUAAGUUCUCCGCCUGGGGAGUACGGCCGCAAGGCUA